rnacentral:rRNA from 1 species
UACGAAGGGUGCAAACGUUGCUCGGAAUUAUUGGGCGUAAAGAGCUCGUAGGCGGCCUGUCACGUCGGUUGUGAAAGCCCGGGGCUUAACCCCGGGUCUGCAGUCGAUACGGGCAGGCUAGAGUUCGGUAGGGGAGAUCGGAAUUCCUGGUGUAGCGGUGAAAUGCGCAGAUAUCAGGAGGAACACCGGUGGCGAAGGCGGAUCUCUGGGCCGAUACUGACGCUGAGGAGCGAAAGCGUGGGGAGCGAACAGG